CAGGAAAUAGUUUAUUUAAAAUAUUAAUUUUGGAGAUUAAUGAAGAGAGCUUUUUUUUUCUUGA
rnacentral:tRNA from 1 species